UACGAAGGGACCUAGCGUAGUUCGGAAUUACUGGCCUUAAAGAGUUCGUAGGUGGUUGAAAAAGUUGGUGGUGAAAUCCCAGAGCUUAACUCUGGAACUGCCAUCAAAACUUUUCAGCUAGAGUAUGAUAGAGGAAAGCAGAAUUUCUAGUGUAGAGGUGAAAUUCGUAGAUAUUAGAAAGAAUACCAAUUGCGAAGGCAGCUUUCUGGAUCAUUACUGACACUGAGGAACGAAAGCAUGGGUAGCGAGGAGGAUUAGAUACCCUCGUAGUCCAUGCCGUAAACGAUGUGUGUUAGACGUUGGAAAUUUAUUUUCAGUGUCGCAGCGAAAGCGAUAAACACACCGCCUGGGGAGUACGACCGCAAGGUUAAAACUCAAAUGAAUUGACGGGGACCCGCACAAGUAGUGGAGCAUGUGGUUUAAUUCGAAGAUACGCGCAGAACCUUACCAACACUUGACAUGUUCGUCGCGACUCUAAGAGAUUAGAGUUUUCGGUUCGGCCGGACGAAACACAGGUGCUGCAUGGCUGUCGUCAGCUCGUGUCGUGAGAUGUUGGGUUAAGUCCCGCAACGAGCGCAACCCUCACUUUUAGUUGCCAUCAUUAAGUUGGGCACUCUGAAAGAACUGCCAGUGAUAAGCUGGAGGAAGGUGGGGAUGACGUCAAGUCCUCAUGGCCCUUACGUGUUGGGCUACACACGUGCUACAAUGGUAUCUACAACAGGAAGUAAGACUGCGAAGUUAAGCAAAUCCCUAAAAGAUACCUCAGUUCGGAUUACACUCUGCAACUCGAGUGCAUGAAGCUGGAAUUACUAGUAAUCGUGGAUCAGCGUGCCACGGUGAAUGCGUUCCCGGGUCU
rnacentral:rRNA from 1 species